GGAUGGUUGUGGGCCAUUGCGAGUGUCUAUCCGAUGGUAUUGGGGUCUUUGUUUUUGUUGGGGGGGAUGCGAAGCAGGUUAGUGAUUUUGGUGGAAAGUUAACUUUUUAUGAUCGGCUUCCGUUCCCCUGCCCCCUUCCUUUUUCCUUCGCCCUUAGCCGGCAUCAGAGUCUGAGGCCCCAAUCCGGAAAUACCGGUUCUUCCCGCUGGGACAAUAGGACGACGCUCCCCAAUGCAGCCCACGUCUCAAGGCUCUGCUUCUUGAGAAACCCAGGCUAAGACAUGUCCAAACUGCGUCUCAGGAUAACUUAAGUCGUUGACGAGGAAAUUAUUCUGGUCAAUAAAUAAGGGAUGACAACAUUUGAAUUUUCCAAAACCCUAAUGAAAUAAUGGAUCAAGGCCGUGGUCAUCAAUGGCCACCAACAUCACAGAAAGGAUCACUAGACAUUAUGUGCCAUCUGAUGGAAAUACACACCAGCACAGAAAGAGCAAACCUGAGUCUGAACCAGCUUCUAGAUCCAAUUACCAGUUUAUAGGAACUGCUGGAAUAAAGGAAUGUGUUAAACAACUACUUUGAGUACCAUCAACAAAAUCCAGAACAUGAGAAACUCAAAAAGACAGAUGACCCAGUUUCCUCAACAAGUAGCAAGGUGUUCAAAAUGAUGGGGUGGGGGGAACCUACAGAUUAAAAGACUUAAGUAGUAUCAAUGAAAUACAAUGUAUAAUUCUUGUUUGGGUCCUGAUUCAAACCAAGCAACCAUUAAAAAAAAUUAUGAGAUAUUUGGGGAAAUUUGAUAUUCCCUAAAUUAGGAAAAAUUUUUUAAAGUUUUAAUCAUACAUCACUGAUUUAAUCUAGUACACACAUGGAGUCGAUGUUGCUACUACAUGUGUUUGGGUGGCGUACUCAUUUUCUAUAUAUGUGUAUGCACACACAAUAAAACAUCUGUUUAAUUUCUCUCUGUAUCUGAAAUGAAAUGAACAUUUCAAGCAAGUCUUGGAUUUUGGAUUUUCUUUGAAUGUGUUCAGGUAGGAAGAAAGGGACUCUGGCUGGCCAAGCUGGUAACUGACAUUAUCUUCGUUUUUCCCACCCACUCUUUUUAUUCUGGGUACAUGCUGUAUGUAUUCCUUUGUCUGUGCUUUCCUGUAAUCAGCAAAACAGCAUUUUCAGUAACUAAAAACCAUGUCCACUCUGAAGACUAAACACUGCAAAAUCUGCUCAGAGAAAUAAAAAGAGACGCCUCUAUGGGCCACAGAGGCAGUGCUAUGAAAAGUGGGAUGAGAACUCAGGGUUCUGAGCUGGAGUUCAGCUGAGGUUCCCUCUGUGCCACUGGCACCAAGGCCGUCCCAUAGAAACCACCAUGCCUUUCCAGACAAAGCCCUAUUCUGCUGCCUCUUGUGACAGGGAGCUCUUGUGUUCUGUGUCUUGAGGUUCUGAAAUCGAUACUGUACUUCACCUGCAGGCUGGCCAGGCAGGAGGGGCAAAGGGUGACGCCACAGUCUAAAGUGGGACACAUCCCUUGAUAAGACAGCUGUUUUCUUUCCUGGCGAUGGGCGCACCGCAGAGCCCCAGAAAGAGCCUUGUUUCCAGCCUUCACUUUGCUACCUGCUGCCCUGUGUGAUCCUGAGUUUUGCAUCUAACUUUUCUGGCCUCAACUUCAGUCUCCUCACCCUUUGACCUGACAACUCCAUUUCUAGGUAUCUAUCUCCCUUGCCCCCCAAAGUCACACAAGUAUUGAAAGAAAUAUAUUCAAGAAUGCUUAUUCCUGUGUGUCUGGAAUAGCAAAAAAUUAAAAUGAAAUGCCAGCAAAAGAAUGGCUGAAUAAACAAUGGUACAUCCACAGAAUGUGCUAAAUGUA